CGCAAGCGCCGAGCGCGCCUGGCUUCCCCGGAGCAGCCGGGCAGCCGCCCCCGCAGCCAGUCAGCCGAGGCGCCAGGUCGUCAUGACAACGGGCAGCCCCACCGGGAUGAACCUCGGUGGGGAGGCGGGGAUCUUAAAAGGAAAGAGAGAGAGCCCCCUCGCCCCUCCCCAUCCCUUCUCCUGUUCCCUCGGUCUUCUCCUUUCAGCAAAUCAAUAAUUUAUCCCUGCUCCGGUUUAAGCUGGUUCCUUCCUCCCCCCCCUCCACUCCCUUCCCCCCCUCCCAGGACCGUCCGAAUAGGUUCUAUCCAUUGCACCACCCUGAUGUCUCCAAAUCAAUCUGCCAUUCAUUAGGUGCCUAUUAAGGACCCUGAGGUACAAAGACAGUGAGGGAAGUAUCUGCCUUCCUGCGAGCGGAAACCGAGUUUCAGAGAAGAGGUGGCUUUCUGGGAGAGAGAAAGAAGAGGGAUACUGAGAGACGAUCAAACAAGUUCUGCACUUUGAAGUCCAAAGCAAAGAACUCUAUUCCCUCUGUUCCAAGACACCUAUUCAGAAAUGUCAUCAGUGAUCACAUCUGGCCUAUAUCUUCUCUUCAUCAGACUAAAUAUCCCCAAUUCCUUUAACCAAAAUCAGACUACAGAUGGGAUGGGGUUUAGGGAAGAUAAACAACACCAGAAAGUGCAAGGUUUGAAUAUGGUCAUUAUCUCCUUCAUCACAGACCUUCCUCUGCUCCUUCCUCAUGACGUGUUUGUCAUCAUCCUUCCAAUAGGCAUCCUCCAGUUCCUGCUGCCGCUUGGCAUCAGCUGCUGCUUUGGCCUCAGCCUUUCUUGCUCGGGCAGCGGCCGACUUGGUGUUCUCGCCCUGGAACUUCUUGGGCAUCCCUCAGCAUGGACUUCAGGAAAAGAAGAACAAAGGUCAGGAUUGUAUGGAAGCUCCAGGGCUGUGCAUUCCCCUCAGUUCACAGAGACUAAGCAUCCAGUGCGGACACCCACAGCAUAGCUCCAGGACGAAUACAUCAGGGCCUCAGUCAUUGGCAAAGUAAGGGGGCUGGUCCAGAGGCCUUCUAAGGAACCUCUCAGGACUGAUGUUCUGUGUCCUAAGGACCCUUCCAAAACUGAGCAGCAAUACAGUAGCAAGUAGAUGAUGGAAGAUAAAGUUGCUAAGGGAAGGCUUUGUAGAGGAAGACAGGCUUUGGCUAACUCAUGGGAACAACUCUGAUCACAGCAUGGGACCUGCCUUCCAUAGGCUGAAAGGUCCUAAAAGAGCUUCUUUACAGCCUACCUGAGUUUGACUUUAAAAUUGUUUCAUGUGUGGGUGAAAUGAAACCUAUUAUAGGCCAAAUUGGCAAUCUAUUAGUCAACCUUUCUCCACCUGGUUCCUGAUCAUACCUGCCAGAUUCCUGGGGAGAAACUGGCCAACCAUCCAGUUCCCACAGCUUUUCAAACAGACCUCAAAAUAAUUCUGGCAAUAGUUUUGCUAUUUCAAAUAAAAAUUUAAAAUAUUUUAAAA